GCGGGUGAAAAACCCGCACGCCGGAAGACCAAGGGUUCCUGUCCAACGUUAAUCGGGGCAGGGUGAGUCGACCCCUAAGGCGAGGCUGAAAAGCGUAGUCGAUGGGCAACGGGUUAAUAUUCCCGUACUGGUGGUAACUGCGAAGGGGGGACGGAGAAAGCUAAAUCAUCCGGGCGACGGUUGUCCCGGUUUAAGCGUGCAGGUGGACUGACCAGGCAAAUCCGGUCGGUUGUUAACACUGAGGCGUGACGACGAGCCACUACGGUGGUGAAGUGAUUGAUGCUCUGCUUCCGGGAAAAGCCUCUAAGCUCCAGGUUACCAUUAAUCGUACCCCAAACCGACACAGGUGGUCAGGUAGAGAAUACUCAGGCGCUUGAGAGAACUCGGGUGAAGGAACUAGGCAAAAUGGUGCCGUAACUUCGGGAGAAGGCACGCUGGCAUUAGGUGAAGUGGUUUACCCACGGAGCUGAAGCCAGCCG
rnacentral:rRNA from 1 species